UGGGGAAUCUUGGGCAAUGGGCGCAAGCCUGACCCAGCCAUGCCGCGUGUGUGAAGAAGGCCUUCGGGUUGUAAAGCACUUUCAGUAGCGAAGAAAAGCUCAGAGCUAAUACCCCUGAGUCUUGACGUUAGCUACAGAAGAAGCACCGGCUAACUCCGUGCCAGCAGCCGCGGUAAUACGGAGGGUGCGAACGUUAAUCGGAAUUACUGGGCGUAAAGCGCGCGUAGGCGGCUCGAUAAGUGGGAUGUGAAAGCCCAGGGCUUAACCUUGGAACUGCAUUCCAAACUGUCGGGCUAGAGUAUGGUAGAGGGAGGUAGAAUUUCCUGUGUAGCGGUGAAAUGCGUAGAUAUAGGAAGGAAUACCGGUGGCGAAGGCGGCCUCCUGGACCAAUACUGACGCUGAGGUGCGAAAGCGUGGGGAGCAAACAGGAUUAGAUACCCCCGUAGUCC
rnacentral:rRNA from 1 species